AACCGGCGACGUUAGCCGAGUGGUCAAAGGCACACGGCCUACAGAGCACUCGAAUUAACUCACUAUCCAGGCGUGGGUUCAAAUCCCAAGCUGGUCU
rnacentral:tRNA from 1 species